rnacentral:lncRNA from 1 species
CAAACAUAAUAGAACACCAUUGAGUCAUCUAGCCUGCUCAAAUGCGCGCAACGAGAAGAUAUAACCAGCAAUCUUCAAAGGUUGGACUCACAAUGGCCCAGAUCCGAGCGCACCCGAAAUCUGAUUAAAAGCCAAUUGAGCCACCUGAAGUGCAAAGUAAACAUCACUCAAAUAAGGUCUUAGAUGGACUGCUGCCAGAUUUUUGGAUGAACUCUCUGAGGAUGGUCUUUAGUCGGGCUGAUGGAGAUGUCAAGACUGAAAGAAAAAUGACAAUAGAUUCCAAACUUUGCAAAUACUCAAAGCAUCUCGUUUGGGGCAAAAUCUGCCAAGAAGUUGGUUGAUAAGACUACGCCAAUCUUGAAAAUAACUCGCCAAGGUCGCUGUCACCAAGUUUUCGUUGUCGAAACUGCGAAGUUGAG